CAAGCCUCUUCAUGUCCCUGCCUAAUUCCCUCGCCUCGCUGGAAAGGGGAACGUCUUCCUUGAAGUUUGCUUCCAGAGGAGCAGCCGAGCCAGGGCCCUGCGGCAGCCUCCCGCUCUCCCGCGCCAUCGCCGCGCUCGAGGUCAUCGACAAAGGCACGAGGAACAGCCUUCGUUGCGCUGCAGCCCUUUGACAGCAGCUCCUGACCGCCAGCAUUAAUGAUAUCCACCCAAUUAGCCGCUGCGAGCUCUGCCUAGCCCGAAGGAUUAGCAAACGAAAUCAUCAACCCAAGGCACAUAACCCACCGGAGCAUCCCCAGGAGCAUGUGCAGCUCACUCCAGGCACGAUGCACGUGUGGAUGUCAGGGGGACCAGGACGACUCCAAUGUGCUAUCAACAGUUGAUCCAACAUGAAGAGCCCCGGGCAUCCCCAGUGCAGGCAGGACACCCCUCCUGCCCGCCCUGGGACCCUCUCUCAGGCGCCGGCAGGACCAAGCACCGCAGCUAGAUCUACCCUCCCCGUGCCAGCUCUGGAGGGCGAUUGUCCCUGAGCAAUGUCCCGUCAAACACCGAAAGCACAAAGUGAGUCUUUCUUAAGCACUGGAUGUUCCUGUUCGUCCCAUGGUCCUGGAAAUCCCUCUUAAAUCAUUGCCAGAGUCUUGGCCUCCACGACAUCCUGUGGCGAAGGACUGCACGGGCCAACGGAGUGUUGGGCACAAAGGAUUUCCUUUGAAAUGUGUUUGACAUUUUCAUUUUCAUUGCCUGCCUCCUCUGCCUGCGAUAGAAGAGAUGGGGAAUGGCCGGAGGGCAGCCCCUGAUCUGCCCCCAUGCCCCCUCAGCUCCAGGGAUUUAAUGAAAAUGAGACCAGGUCGGGCAAAGAGGUUCCCAGUAGCAACAGCUGCAAUAGCACAACCUCCUAUUAGACACCAGAGAAUCCACACAGACAAGCAGCAUCCUUCAGGCACCUCCACCUCUCCUUGGCUUAAAGCCCUGGACCGCAGCCUGGGGGUCCCAGUUCACCUCCCCGUGGCUGUAGGGCAGUGCCCGGGAGCCUACCUCCUCCCCGCACACCCCGGGGGGUCCCGCAGGACGCCCCGGUGCCAUGGGGCGGCUGUCCCGUAACGUGGCUUUCACUGGGACUGUGCUUGCGGGGCUGG